UGAGGGGGCCAUGACUGAAGGAGAUGAUACAGUCUGUGCUGGUAAUACAGAGAAAACCCCGCUAAACUAGGAAAUCCUGUGAAAGUAGCAACAGAAUUGGGUAUUAGAUAUUUAAUGCGCUUCUACAAGGAUCUUCAGACCUUCACAACCAAGCCCUGUUGCAACCACCCUAUAUUGGACAUACACAACCAUAAUAAAUUUGCACUUGCAGCAUGACUAUUUCCUUUUAUACAUCCUCUGAAUGCAACAAUCUGGGUUUCUCAGAACAAGGGAUAACACAGAUGCUCCCUCUGACCCAAGAGGAUUCUGGCCCAGGCUUUAUGUAAAGAACAUACAAUAAAUAUCACAAACAAAAUAAAUAAUAUUUAACGUUAAGUGUUUCACAUCUGCCUCCGAACAAUUAUACCUACAGUUAUAGUAUUUACCUGAGU